UCCCCCUUGGCCGCCGCACCCCCUGCCCAUCUCCUACUCUCUCAAUUCUUGCAGCCACCAAACCCUAGCCGCCCCCCCUCUCAAUCCCCUCCUCCCAAGGUGCCAAUCCUUGCCGCUCGGAUCAUCGUCGUCGUGGUGCGAGUCUUCAAUCGUUUUGGUGGAGGGAAGAAGGGAGGAAGGAAAGGGGGAGAAUCCAAGGUGGUGGGCUUCCGGAUCGUACUUGGGAUUUGCCCGAACUUCCGGUAAAGGCAAGUAAAUACAGUGGUGGUUGCUACCGUUUGGUUUGCAUCCUAUUCCCUGUCAUUGAGUAUGCAUAAGUUUUAAUUAUGUUAAUCAUUAAAUUCUAUGAUGAAGUUUAUUUGUUUGGAAGUAUUAAUUCUCAAUUGUCUAACAUUGUGGAUGAUCAUAAUUUGGUAAUGAUAUAUGUGGUUGAUUCCCAUCUGGAUGAAGUUGAAGUGUCUUUUUGAAUCAUGUUAUAUGAAGUGUUGUAGGCAUGACAUGCACAUCGCAUCAUCCAUCUUGCAUUUUGAAGUUAUGUCGUGAUCUUAUGGUCCGACCGUACCGGUACAUUUUUAGCAUCGUACGUUGCCCGAGGAGGGGUACGAUGCGGCUUCAUAUCCUUAGAGGUAUGAAGGCAGAAGUCAUCCUUGCAUUUGCAGACAUUUGCACUCAUGAGGAAUAUAUGAAGUGUGACAUUACUAUGUUACUAUUGAUGUUUCUACCUGCGAGGUGUGGUAACUAGGUGCGUUGUACGUUGUAUACGUGCUGCACCUUCGUAAUAAGAAGGUUGUGGAAUUAAGUGGUGGUAAAACAAUGUUCUUAUGUGGUUAAACUGUUUGAUAUUAUUUUACUUGCUGAGAUGUGUCAUCUCACUCUUGCAUUACUCAAUGCAGGUACUUGAUACAUGUUGGGAAUGAGGGGAGUAGCAGCACGUCCACUUUCACUCUCACAAUAACGCUGCCCAGGCGCAGCCAUGAUUUAAUUAGAAACUUAUUAUCAAAGGAAGUUUGUUUACUUUUUUUAUAUGGUCGUGCGCACUGGUUAAUUCAGUUCAGGUCGUAUGUUUAUCUUUCCUUGCUAGCCGAGUAAUAAUACUUAGUAUGUUUUAGUCAUGAU
rnacentral:lncRNA from 1 species